rnacentral:rRNA from 1 species
AUGGACAUGCGUCGCAUUAGGUAGACGGCGGGGUAACGGCCCACCGUGCCGACGAUGCGUAGGGGUUCUGAGAGGAAGGCCCCCCACACUGGUACUGAGACACGGACCAGACUCCUACGGGAGGCAGCAGUGAGGAAUAUUGGUCAAUGGCCGAGAGGCUGAACCAGCCAAGUCGCGUGAGGGAAGAAUGUCCUAAGGAUUGUAAACCUCUUUUGUCGGGGAGCAAAAAGGCUCUGCGGAGUCGUAUUGAGAGUACCCGAAGAAAAAGCAUCGGCUAACUCCGUGCCAGCAGCCGCGGUAAUACGGAGGAUGCGAGCGUUAUCCGGAUUUAUUGGGUUUAAAGGGUGCGCAGGCGGCGUGUCAAGCAAGCGGUAAAAUAGCGGGGCUCAACCCCGUCGAGCCGUUUGAACUGGCGCGCUUGAGUUCAGGCGAGGUAGGCGGAAUUCGUGGUGUAGCGGUGAAAUGCAUAGAUAUCACGAAGAACUCCGAUUGCGAAGGCAGCUUACCAGUCUGCGACUGACGCUCAGGCACGAAAGUGUGGGUAUCGAACAGGAUUAGAUACCCUGGUAGUCCACACAGUAAACGAUGAGCGCUAGGUGUCCGGGUCGCAUGAGACUUGG